rnacentral:rRNA from 1 species
AUUGAACGCUGGCGGCAGGCCUAACACAUGCAAGUCGAACGAGUGGCGGACGGGUGAGUAAUGUCUGGGAAACUGCCCGAUGGAGGGGGGUAACUACUGGAAACUGUAGCUAAUACCGCAUACCAUCGGAUGUGCCCAGUUGGGAUUAGCUAGUAGGUGCGGUAACGGCUCACCUAGGCGACGAUCCCUAGCUGGUCUGAGAGGAUGACCAGCCACAAGGGGACUGAGACACGGUCCAGACUCCGACGGGAGGGAGCGAAGGGGAAUAUUGCACAAUGGGGGCAAGCCUGAUGCAGCCAUGCCGCGUGUAUGAGGAAGGCCUUCGGGUUGUAAAGUACUUUCAGCGGGGAGGCGUUACUCGCAGAAGAAGCACCGGCUAACUCCGUGCCAGCAGCCGCGGUAAUUC